rnacentral:rRNA from 1 species
AUGCCGUCGAUGCAGACCACAAUCUGCAUCUGCUUCUGGACACCUCCCAAGCUCCGCGUCGGCUCUGGAGCAAAGGCCGCCGCAACGGCAGAGCCCGAGGUCACAGCAUUACUUCAGCUUACUGCUUGGGGAACACUGGCGAUCAUGCCAGUUACGGGCGACACAUUUCCAACUCACAUGAUAUGCAUUCUGAUUGGAAAUCUUGGAGCAUCCGUGACGGAAGUUGUAAGCGAUGCUGUUGUCACGGAGUUCAGCAGAACACAGAGGACCGGCGUACUACAGUCUUAUGCAUUCAUAGGCCUGGCAGCUGGAGCCCUCCUAGGAAACUUGUCGGGCGGAUACGUUCUGUUGAGAACGCAGGAACCAAAGAUCAUGUUCACAGCGUUCUCUGUCCUCCUUGGCCUCCAACUGGCACUCUCCAUAGGCACAAAGGAAACACUGCCAAGCUCCCAUGGAAGCUCCAGAAGCCUUCUUGUCAAGAGCUCAUUGUCGGCCAAUCUUCGAAAGCAAUUCUCAAACCUGAUGACAGCGGUCCGCGAGGAAAGGAUAUUCUACCCGCUUGCAUGGAUCAUGACCUCGUUUGCUGUCGUGCCUGUUCUCUCUGGAACCAUGUUCUGCUUCCAAACACAGCAUCUGAAGCUCGACUCAUCGAUCAUCGGCCUUUCAAAGGUCAUGGGGCAGGUCAUGGUCGUCUCCCUGACCGUCCUCUACAACCGCCAUCUCAAAAGGAUCCCCUUGAGGCGACUCGUGGGCGGAGUUCAGAUAAUGUAUGCUUUCGCGGUGCUGUCGGAGCUGAUCCUGGUGAAGCAAGUGAACCUUAUGCUGGGGAUACCAAAUGAGGUGUAUGUGCUUUGUUUCUCGGCUCUCGCCGAAGCGAUCGCGCAGUUCAAGGUCCUGCCGUUCUCGAUCUUGCUGUCGAGCCUCUGCCCCCCUGGCUGCGAAGGUUCGCUCUUCGCCUUCUUCACCUCUGGAUUGGUCUUUUCGGCGAUUCUGAGUGGUGUGUUUGGGGUUGGACUGUCUGCCCUGAUUGGGCUGUCCUCUGGGGGCUACUCGAGCUUGCCUCUGGGUAUUCUGCUGCAAAGUUUGGCCGCGUUGUUGCCUUUGGCGUGGCUGUCUUUUGUGCCUGAAAACUGGACUGCCGACGGGAAGAUUGUAAAGCAAAGAUGA